rnacentral:rRNA from 1 species
ACGGGAGGCAGCAGUGGGGAAUAUUGGACAAUGGGGGAAACCCUGAUCCAGCGACGCCGCGUGAGUGAAGAAGUAUUUCGGUAUGUAAAGCUCUAUCAGCAGGGAAGAAAAUGACGGUACCUGACUAAGAGGCCCCGGCUAACUACGUGCCAGCAGCCGCGGUAAUACGUAGGGGGCAAGCGUUAUCCGGAUUUACUGGGUGUAAAGGGAGCGUAGACGGCAAGGCAAGUCUGAAGUGAAAGCUCGGGGCUCAACCCCGGAACUGCUUUGGAAACUGUCAUGCUAGAGUGCAGGAGAGGUAAGUGGAAUUCCUAGUGUAGCGGUGAAAUGCGUAGAUAUUAGGAGGAACACCAGUGGCGAAGGCGGCUUACUGGACUGUAACUGACGUUGAGGCUCGAAAGCGUGGGGAGCAAACAGGAUUAGAUACCCUGGUA